rnacentral:rRNA from 1 species
AGCUCCAAUAGCGUAUAUUAAAGUUGUUGUGGUUAAAAAGCUCGUAGUUGGAUCUCAACAGCCUUGAAGCGGUUAACUUUGUAGUUUUACUGCUUUGUAGGCUGUGCUUUUGCUGGAGGUUUAGGGGUGCUCUUGAUCGAGUGUCUCUGGAUGCCAGCAGGUUUACUUUGAAAAAAUUAGAGUGCUCAAAGCAGGCUAAAAUGCCUGAAUAUUCGUGCAUGGAAUAAUAGAAUAGGAGGAAGAAAAAGAAAAGGAGGGAGGAGGGAAUGGAGAAAAGGAGAAAUAGGGACAGGCGGGGGCAUUUGUAUUCAAACGACAGAGGUGAAAUUCUUGGACCGUUUGAAGACAAACUACUGCGAAAGCAUUUGCCAAGAAUGUUUUCA